ACUCCGGUCAUAUAGCUUUCAGGCCUGAAUUCUGAAAUGGCGCUACUCGGAAAACCAUGAAAGGCCACUCAUGGAUGGUGAUAGGGGGAGAAAAGAACCAAAGGAGAAGGAAAGGCCACGUACUACCCUAUCCCUUGUUUUGACUCAUUGACCUGCUGUCUGCAGAGCACUGCCUCUCAUUUCGCUUGCAGUGCAAUACUCAUCCAGUUCCAACUUCCUUGUCUGCGCGACGAGCAGAGGAGGAGGGGCAAGCUCCCGCGUCCCGUUCGCUGUUUAAUCCGUGUUUCUGCAUGCACAAAACAAAAAGGGGAAACAUCAGCAACAACAAAACCCCGCAAUCCCAUGGAGGAGGUGGCGCUGGCUGGCUUGCGACUGGCGGUAUCACCAAUAUUGAAGGAGCUCAUCACUAAAGCUUCAUCAACUGGAGACCACCGUCAUGCCGCAGUUCGAGUUGAUGAUUCAAGCUGCUAACAAGCGCAACCAGAGGGCCAUGCUGGACAGAUGGAUCCAAGAGCUCAAAGACGCCUUGUACAAGGCUGAGGACCUGUUGGAUGACCAACAGCCCCCGCGCGCCGCCGCUAGCCCUCCUCUCCCCUCCUCUUCCCCUCGCCGCCGCCGGAGCGCGCCGCCAGGCAAAGCCCGGCCGGCGUAGGCGGCGGCGGGGCCCUGGUCUCCCGUCCCUUGAGGUGGUCUGACGCGGGGCUGCCCCCCUCGAGCUGAUGCGUGGCGCUUGGCGGGGCGCGACGGCGCGGCACCGGCUGCAGCCAAGGUGACGGCGGCGGCUGCGGGUGGUGGCGUGGAGGGCUGCUGGGCCUUGCGGGGCAUGGUGCCCGUGCUUGGGUGCGGUGGCGGGGUGUGCUCGGAGUGGUGGCGAGGGUUUCCCAGAUCUGAUCUGGACGGUGGUGGAUCCUCGGGCCGCCGCUUCGCGGGUGGCACGGGCUGCGGUGGCUAGGGCCUGCCGGCGGUGCGCGGGGGCUGUUGCGCUCGUCCUCGUCGGCAUGGUGGCGGUGGUGGUGGUGCGUGCUGGCUGGAUUUCGCCUGUUUUCGGCCGGCGGCGCGGGUUUGGGGCCCCGGCCCGGCGUGGCUGCGGUCCCGGCUGUGUGUGGCGGCGGCGAGGUUGCUUCACUGUGCCGGCUCCACGGCAGCUCGGCGGGUUGACGGGGGCGGCGGCUGGCUUUCCGGCGUCGGCUCGUCUGUUGGCGGCCUGUUUCGACCUUCGGCCCUCUCCUCGUCGUAUGGUUGCUACCUCCGUCGAAGGUUCCGCCUCCCCCGACUAUGGUCCAUCGCUCGUCUCGCGCUCGGCAGCAGGACCGAGCUCGUCUCGUGCCCGGCAGCAGGACCGAUCUUGUCUCGCGCCCGGCAGCAGGACCGACCUCGUCUCGCGCCCGGCAGCAGGACCGUGCUCGUCUCGCGCCCGGCAGCAGGAUGGGUCGAUGGAGGCCAAUUUUGGCCGACCUUCGGGUUUUGGCGUUAGGGGCAGCCCAGGGGUGCGAAAGGCGGUUCCUUCCGCUCGUAUCUUUGGUUAAGGUAGCGGUGGGUCUCGAGUGAGGUGGAUUCCAGGUCUUGGAUGCCAGGGCGGCGGCCCUGGGGUUGGCUCCGCGGUGCUCUUGGGCAGAGCCCGUGGUUAGGUGCUGCCCGGUGGCCAUGGCCGUGUGGGCGGCGUGGUCAUCGGGAUGUGGCGUCCGGUGGUGGUGAGUGUUGGCGGGGGUGAAAACUUGAUCUGUCUUCGGAUGGACUGGCAACGGCGAAGCUCGCUUCCUUCUUGAAGGCGUCGUCGCGGCUCUCAUUGCCCGUCGUGUUGCUCCAGGGGAAACUCUGAUCCUCGGGUCGGGCGGUGACGGCGCUCUGGUGUCAUAACCUUCCUGAAGGCGCCGCCUUGAAGCACACGGUUCGUUAUAUGCGGCUUCUUCUCUUCGCGUUGGCGUCUCCUCGGUUGAGGACUCCGGUUGCUCUUGUAGUACGAGGGGUAGUGUUGCCGCGCCUAUGUAUCCAGCCUUGGGUGUGUGCGUGUGUUGUGGUGGCGUGCGUUUGUAUCUAAGCUGCGGUCGGUCAUUGCUUUAUAUAUAAAGCGGGGCGAAAGCCUUUUUCGGUAAUAGCGCUGAUGGCCCCCUGUGUCAAUAGCGAGUUUUCCUUAGGCUACAUCUAUACCACCACCGAAAGUGAUUGGUCGCGACAAGGACCGUGAUCAUAUAAGACACCUCCUUACCCAGACGAGUGCUGCUGAGGCUAGUUCUGCCAAGUACUCAGGUUUGGCCAUUGUUGGAGCUGGAGGCAUGGGAAAAUCAACCCUGGCACAAUAUGUUUUCAAUGACAAGAGGGUAGAAGAAUGUUUUGAUGUCAAGAUGUGGGUCUUCAUCUCUCGCAAACUUGAUGUCCGUCGUCAUACACAGGAAAUUUUCGAGUCUGCAACAAAUGGGGAAUGCCCACGCCUUGACAACCUUGACACUCUCCAGGGAAAACUAAGAGAUAAACUGCAAGAAUGAGAGAAGUUCCUGCAGGUUCUGGAUGAUAUUUGGUUUGAUGAUUCCAACAAUCAGACGGAGUGGGACCAACUGCUAGCUCCUCUAGUUUCUCGGCACACUGGAAGCAAAGUUUUGGUAACUUCACGACGGGAUACACUUCCGGCUGCUCUUUGUUGCAGUGAAGUAGUAUUUUGUUUGGAAAACAUGGAAGAUAGGCAGUUCCUAGCACUGUUCAAAUACCAUGCCUUCUCUGAACAAGAAAUCAGAAAUCCACAGUUGUGUGAAAAACAAGAAGAGAUUGCAGAGGAAAUCGUUAAAAGGCUUGGGAAAUCUCCUUUGGCUGCAAAAGUUGUGGGUUCCCAGUUGAAUGAAAAACAAAUAUCAGUGCAUGGAAAGAUGCUCUAUCUAUACAGAUUGACAACUUAAGUGAGCCCAGGAGAGCUCUGCUAUGGAGUUAUGAGAAGUUAGAUCCACGUCUACAGAGGUGCUUUCUUUAUUGCAGCUUAUUUUCGAAAGGUCACAUGUAUGGCAUCGAGGAGUUGAUUCACCUGUGGGUAGCAGAGGGAUUUGUUGAUUCAUGCAACAUGAGCAAGAGAAUGGAAGAUAUUGGAAGAGAUUACUUCAAUGGAUGGUCUCUGUUUCAUUCCUUCAACAAGUUUCGAAUGGAUAUACCCAUGUUAUGCAUGAUCUCCUUCAUGAUUUGGCACAGUCACUCUCGAAACAAGACUGCUUCAGAUUGGAAGAUGAUAAGAUGACGGAGAUACCAUGCACCGUUCGACAUCUCUCUGUUUGUGUUGAGAGUAUGAUACAACAUAAGCAAAGUAUCUGCAGGUUACAUCAUUUACGCACUGUUAUCUGCAUUGACCCAGUAAUAGAUGACAUAAAUGAUGUUUUUAAUCAGGUACUACAGAGACUGAAGAAGUUGCGUGUACUAUAUUUGUCAUUAUACAACAAGAGCAAGUUGCCAGAAUCUAUUGGUGAGCUGAAGCACCUUCGAUAUCUGAACAUCAUCAGAAGUUUGGUUUCUGAGCUGCCGAGGUCAUUAUGUACUCUUUAUCACCUGCAAUUUCUUCAGUUCAGUGAUAAACUCCAUAGUUUGCCUGAGGUGCACUGCAACUUAAGUAAUUUACGUCAUCUUGGGAUGUAUGUUGAUAUAUGGGCUCAAUAUACAAAUCAGAUCGGCAAAUUCCUAACAUAGGCAAGCUAACCUCACUCCAAAACCUUGAGGAUUUUUAUUUGCAGAAGCAGAAGGGAUAUGAGUUACGACAGCUGGGGAACAUGAAGGAGCUUGGUGGCAGUUUAAGUGUCAAAAAUCUUGACAUUGUUACUGGGAGGGAUGAAGCCUUAGAGGCGAAGCUACAUCAGAAAAGUCAUCUCAAAAGCUUGCAUUUUGCCUGGUGUUGCAGGGAUGAUGUUAAUGCAGAGGAUCGUUUACAUUUAGAGGUUUUAGAAGGUCUGAAGCCACCACCACAACUAUUGGCCCUUGCAAUCCAAGGUUAUAGAGCAGCGAAAUAUCCAAAUUGGUUAUUUGAGGAUUCACAUUUUUAGAAUUUGGAAUCCUUUUCACUUGCUGAUUGCAGUAUGUUAGAAGGCCUGCCAUCUAAUAUCAACCUCUUCAGGAAUUGCUGUUCACUUGUCCUCGAGAAUGUCCCAAACCUGAAGAUAUUGCCUUGUCUUCCAGCUA